rnacentral:rRNA from 1 species
AUUCAACGCUGGCGGCAUGCUUUACACAUGCAAGUCGAACGGCAGCGCGGGCUUCGGCCUGGCGGCGAGUGGCGAACGGGUGAGUAAUGCAUCGGAACGUGCCCAGUAGUGGGGGAUAGCCCGGCGAAAGCCGGAUUAAUACCGCAUACGACCUGAGGGUGAAAGCGGGGGACCGAAAGGCCUCGCGCUAUUGGAGCGGCCGAUGUCGGAUUAGCUAGUUGGUGGGGUAAAGGCUUACCAAGGCGACGAUCCGUAGCUGGUCUGAGAGGACGACCAGCCACACUGGGACUGAGACACGGCCCAGACUCCUACGGGAGGCAGCAGUGGGGAAUUUUGGACAAUGGGGGCAACCCUGAUCCAGCCAUGCCGCGUGCGGGAAGAAGGCCUUCGGGUUGUAAACCGCUUUUGUUCGGGAAGAAAUCCUCUGGGCUAAUACCCCGGGGGGAUGACGGUACCGGAAGAAUAAGCACCGGCUAACUACGUG